GAUCAUGGCUCAGGAUGAACGCUAGCUACAGGCUUAACACAUGCAAGUCGAGGGGCAGCAUGAACUUAGCUUGCUAAGUUUGAUGGCGACCGGCGCACGGGUGAGUAACACGUAUCCAACCUGCCGAUGACUCGGGGAUAGCCUUUCGAAAGAAAGAUUAAUACCCUAUGGCAUAGUUCUUCCGCAUGGUGGAACUAUUAAAGAAUUUCGGUUAUCGAUUGGGAUGCGUUCCAUUAGG
rnacentral:rRNA from 1 species